rnacentral:rRNA from 1 species
UACAGAGGGGGCGAGCGUUGUUCGGAAUUACUGGGCGUAAAGGGCGCGUAGGCGGCCCGCUAAGUCGAACGUGAAAUCCCCGGGCUCAACCUGGGAACUGCAUUUGUGACUGCAUCGCUGGAGUGCGGCAGAGGGGGAUGGAAUUCCGCGUGUAGCAGUGAAAUGCGUAGAUAUGCGGAGGAACACCGAUGGCGAAGGCAAUCCCCUGGGCCUGCACUGACGCUCAUGCACGAAAGCGUGGGGAGCAAACAGG